rnacentral:sRNA from 1 species
UAAUUUUCGAUCCAUUAAUAAUAAAAACAUAAAUUCUUUAUUGUAAAAACUAGGUUUAAAAGUUAUUAUUCUACUUUUUAUAAAAUAAAUUCUUAUUUUAUUUGUACGUUUAACAAAAAUGGUUUUAAUAUAAAUAAUAUAGGUAAUAAUUUUAAUUUUGUUAAAAUUAGGAAAACUAUUUGCGUUUUUAACGGUUUUUUUAAAUAAUAAUCCUAAAUACCCUAAACGUCUAUAUUAUAACAGGGUUUUUUGGGCCUGGAUUUUGUUAUAAUCGCCUGUAAUUCCGUUUCCUUUAACCGUUACCUAAUUAUCGGUAGUUCGAUUUAAAUUUAAAAAAAAAGUUUUUACAAAAAUUUGCAUUAAUUCCGGUAUUAAAAAAGAUUUUAACAUCGGACUUUUUUAUAUGGGAAACCCGCUUUUUUCGGUAUUAGCCUUUUUCAUAUUUGGUUAUAUAAACGGAUUAUUUAACGGUUUACCGGGUUUACGGGGUUUAAUUUUACGUGGUUUUUUAAAAUUUAUUAUAUUAAAUUUUUAUAUUACAGGUAAAUUUACGGUUAUAUUUUUAUUUUGUUCGGAAUUUAAUAUUUCCGUUACCGUAUUUCUUUCCGGUUUAGAAUCGGUGUAAAUUAUAUAAUUGUUUUGGUUUUUAGGGAUUAUAUUAUUUAAGUUUACCUCCAACGGGGUUGCGUAAUUUUUUAAAACCCCCUGUAAAAUUAAAUUAAAAACGGUAUUAUAUUUACCAAUAAUAUAAUAUAAACGUAAUUCGAAACUGUAAUUUUAAAAUUUCGAAUAAGAAUAUCGCACCCUUUUAUUUCCAAAAAAAAGGAAUUUUUAGCGGUAUUUAAACGUUCCCACGUUUUGUAAUCCUAAUCGUAUAAAAUAUUUUUUAAUAAUACGCCCUUUAUAUUAUAAUAUAUAAAAUUAUUGACAAUAUUUAUCCCAAACAAAAGGAUAUAUAGCACGUUAUUUAAUGUAAUUCUUCUAAAUUCGUCAAUUUUGGGGCUAUACCGGACCUAUAUUUUAACAAUUCCAAUAUUAAUAAAUUUAAUAGGGCCCCCUCCGGUACCGAUUUCGAUUAUCAAACCGGGGAUAUAACCGGUGAAAAAUUAUUUAUUUGCAAAAAUAUAAUACGUAUUAUUUAUGUUAUACAGGACCGGGUAAUUUAAUUUUUGGGGUUUAGGGUUUUUAUUUAUACCGUUUUCAAAUUUUGUUUUAACUUUGAAAUCAAUUGCUAAUAUUUGUGUUUUUAACGUUUUACUAGUAAAAUCGGGUUUCGAAUCCAAUUCCGAGUACAAUUUUAUAAUUCCGUUAAUAACGGAAUUAAUUUUCUUUAUAACAUCCGGUACGGUGCAUUACCGCCCGAAUCGUUUAUUUAUUCCAAAACGUUAUACGUUACGUAUACGUUAAGGUUACCUGGAAUCGAACCCGUAAAUAGUUCGAAAUCCAUUAAAAUUAUAAAAAUUCCAACGUUCAAUUUAUUGGAAUUAAAAGAUUUAUUAUUUUUUGCAAUAACCGAAUCCGAAUUUUGGGUUAAUUUACUUUUUUUUCGUAAUGUGGAAAUAUUAUCCUGCCCAUUAUUUUCCUUUUUAACGUCCUUUUCAGCGUUUCUUUUACCUAAUUUUUAACCUUUAACCUUAUUAUUUAUAAUUUUAGCUAUUAUAAAACCUUAAAUCGAAUUUUCGAAUAUAAAGUUUGUUAUAAAAUAUUGCAAAUUUAAUCGAUCCGAAUUUUGGCUUAUAAUUUGCAACGUCCGUUGGGUAUUGCGUUAAUAUUCGGUCCAGGUAGGAAAUAUACUUUUUAGGGCCCGUAAAUAUUAAUUUCGUAUAUCGACAGGGUUAAUUUGCACGUUGGUAUCCGUUAGUUUAAUUACCAGAAAAUUAAAACGGCCGUUAAAUUUUGGUAUCGACCUUUUAAAUUUCGAAAAAUUUAGGCCGUAAAAUUCCCGAUAUAACGCAUUUUGGUUAAUUUUAAAUAUAACGAAAUAAUUAUUUUCCAGGGUUUUAUAAACCGUUACAAAAUUGGAAUACCAUAUAAUAAAUUUUGAAAAAAGUUUAAUUAGGUUAAUUUUAAUAAAUAAUAAUAAAACCGAUUAUUUGUAUUCCGGUAAAUUAUAACCAAUUUCAGGGCUGCAAACAAUUUCCGCAGUUUUUAUAAUUUUAAAUUAUAUUAUAAAUACCUGUUUCCAUAAAUCGAAAUUAUUAACUUUUAUUAAUUUGCAAUUUUUAGGGAAAAGUAAUACCAGUAUUAAUAAUUUUUUAUUUAUCCCGUUAUUUAAAAUCACGUUACCAAAUAUAUUAAAAGGUGCGGUAAUGGUAUUAACGUCAAAAGUUUGUGGGUUUACCUCCAAAUUACUGUUACUGGGGGUAUUUAUAUCCGCAAUACCAUUAAAAUUAAUGGAUUUAUAGUUUUUAA